UACGUAGGGGGCAAGCGUUGUCCGGAAUCAUUGGGCGUAAAGAGCGCGUAGGCGGCCCUGUAAGUCCGCUGUGAAAGUCAAAGGCUCAACCUUUGAAAGCCGAUGGAUACUGCAGGGCUAGAGUCCGGAAGAGGCGAGUGGAAUUCCUGGUGUAGCGGUGGAAUGCGCAGAUAUCAGGAGGAACACCAAUAGCGAAGGCAGCUCGCUGGGACGGUACUGACGCUAAGGCGCGAAAGCGUGGGGAGCGAACAGG
rnacentral:rRNA from 1 species